UCCGGCUUGACGCCGGCGGUCUCGUUAGAGUUCCCGGCAUUACCCGCUGGCAACUAACGACAGGGGUUUCGCUCGUUAAGGGACUUAACCCGACACUUCACAGCACGAGCUGACGACAGCCAUGCAGCACCUGUGCACGUUUCACCCGAAGGCAGCCUACUCCUGUUUCCAAGAGAGCAUCCGUGCAUGUCAAACCCAGGUAAGGUUCUUCGCGUUGCUUCGAAUUAAUCCACAUGCUCCACUGCUUGUGUGAGCCCCCGUCAAUUCCUUUGAGUUUUAGCCUUGCGGCCGUACUCCCCAGGCGGCGCACUUAGCACUUUUGCUUCGGCACGGUCGACGUCAGAGUCUCCCAUACCUAGUGCGCAUCGUUUACGGCGUGGACUAC
rnacentral:misc_RNA from 1 species